rnacentral:rRNA from 1 species
UGACCUCGGAUCAGGUAGGAAUACCCGCUGAACUUAAGCAUAUCAAUAAGCGGAGGAAUACAAACCCGCA